UAGGAGUCAUGCUCUGACUGAGCUGAUCUCCUUUUAGUCAGAUUCGGAACUCAUGCUCAGGACAAUGACUCACACAGAAGCACAGGAGAUGUGAAACAUAUUUUAUUGACUGGAACCAAUAAUUACACAUGCUUCCAGACAAGUAUGGUUAAGCCCACGGGAAUCAAGAGACUCAAGGCUACUGUGUUGAUGGAAGCCACUGUCUUUACCUGGAAAUAUCAGUCUGAAGAUUGCAAAGAGACUUCUCUGCCAGACUAGCCCUGGCUACCACUGGCAUGUGGCCCUCAGGAAGUUGCCCAGAAAGAAAUGUCGCCCGUAGCCCUCAGACUGAAAGAGGUUUCCCAUCCCUGCUUUUGAGUGUCAACUUUAUCCUUGCUGGGAGAGUGCUGAGAGAAAACAAGGUUAGCUGAGGAACAGUUGUCUUAGUUCAAGGGACUCAGUGCUACCUGCUUUUGGAGAACCAGAACAGUUCGUUCAAGAACAAAGGUAGAGAGAGACCACACUACCAAUUCAAGUUUCAGCCAAA